rnacentral:misc_RNA from 1 species
GCAAACUUGGUCAUUUAGAGGAAGUAAAAGUCGUAACAAGGUCUCCGUUGGUGAACCAGCGGAGGGAUCAUUACUGAGUCUUAAACCACUCAAACCCUUGCAAACCUACCUACGUUGCCUCGGCGGGGGGCGCUCCGGGUGUGUCGAGAGGCACCUACCCUGGAGCGCCUACCCUGGAAACCUACCCUGGAGGACCUCCCUCCGGGUGGGCCCAGGCGUCAAACCCGCCGGUGGACCACCAAACUCUGUUUACAGUGGCAUAUCUGAGGACUAUUUAAUACGUUAAAACUUUCAACAACGGAUCUCUUGGUUCUGGCAUCGAUGAAGAACGCAGC